rfam:Canis lupus familiaris chromosome 15, whole genome shotgun sequence.
UCCUGGGUGGCUCAGCGGUUGAGCGUCUGACUUCUGCUCAGGACAUGAUCCCAGGGACCUGGGAUCGAGUCCCACACCAGGCU